rnacentral:pre_miRNA from 1 species
CAAAUACUCCCUCCGUCCGGAAAUACUUGUCAUCGAAAUGGAUAAAAGGAAAUGUAUAUAGACGUAUUUUAGUUUUAGAUACAUCUAUUUUUAUCCAUUUUGAUGACAAGUAUUUUCGGACGGAGGGAGUAGAAA